CGUCACCAAUGUUUUGAUCCUGAAAUGGCAACAAACCAGCAUUUUUCCAGGAAGUCAAUUUUCUAAACGCAAUUUAUCGAUUUUCUGCAUCUUCAAAGACUGUCUUCUUCCGCAUGAUCUACAUGAAAGAGUCCUUGACUGUGUUGUUGUGAGACACCUCCAUGAACAGUGGGUCCUUCUUUCAUUAAGAAGGUACCCAUUCAGCCUCUGUAGUCUUUUGGACACGUUUCUCACUAAGUGGUAGAGGUGAGAUGGGGAGAAU